UGGCGGACGGGUGAGUAACGCGUGGGGAACCUGCCCUGUACAGGGGGAUAACACUUAGAAAUAGGUGCUAAUACCGCAUAAGCGCACAGUAUCGCAUGAUACAGUGUGAAAAACUCCGGUGGUACAGGAUGGACCCGCGUCUGAUUAGCUGGUUGGCGGGGUAACGGCCCACCAAGGCGACGAUCAGUAGCCGGCCUGAGAGGGUGAACGGCCACAUUGGGACUGAGACACGGCCCAAACUCCUACGGAAGGCAGCA
rnacentral:rRNA from 1 species